GGAUGCAUGGAAACAAGGUAUCAUGAGCAAGCAGCAGCAGAAAUAACAGAAGAAACAGACCUAUAGACCCUUCCAAUACUGGACGUAUUAGAUACAGGGUAUAUAAAAAUAAUAUCAUGUUUAAAGAAAUGAGGCACAUUUUUAAAAAUUUCCUUGUUCAAAGCCCUUAGUUGCUCCCCAGGGCAAACUGUAAAGAUAGGCUGAGGAUUUUCAUCUGGAAACUCAUCUGGAUGUGUCUCCUCUCAUGCACCUACUCAACUUUCAAAGCCCGGCUCAAAAUGACACCACCUCCAUGAAGUCCACUCAGAUCUGCCCAGAAGGAAUUGAUGUAUUUUCUCCUACGUUCUCACGGAUGUGCCGCAGUACAGUGUGCGCAUGUCACAUUACAGAAUGCUCUGUUUUCCUCACUGGACUGUAAGCUCUUGAGAAUCUAAAGCUUCUCUUCGAAAAAAAACCUCUGAACGUGUCACACACCUGGCCCGGUACUUUCUAUACAAUCGAAACCAACGAGCGUUUGCUGAAUCUGGUUCAAUCGAAAAAUCACUCCCCAGGCUGAACGGUCUCUGUGGCCCUCAGAUUCUGUCAGCGCAAAGUAACAUUUGGUAUUCAAGCUUUUUACUGGCCCCCAAAUCUCACUACUGAAGCCUUCAGUCUCCUCACUGCCCCUUGUGAAGUCCUUGCUCACUUUUUUUUUUUUUUUUUUUUUCGGUACGCGGGCCUCUCACUGUUGUGGCCUCUCCCGUUGCGGAGCACAGGCUCCGGACGCACAGGCCCAGCGGCCAUGGCUCACGGACCCAGCCGCUUCGCGGCAUGUGGGAUCUUCCCGGACCGGGACACAGACCCGUGUACCCUGCAUCGGCAGGCGGACUCUCAACCACUGCGCCACCAGGGAAGCCCCUUGCUCACUUUUUAACAUCUGACUCUGGUUCAUUUGUUUUCCCCUCUUUGAAGCUCCUUCCCUCCCUCUGCUCCUGGAAACAUUAUCUUUUCCUCAUUUUGCUUCUGGAUUUGCAUAAAAUUUUUACUCUGUUAGAAGCAGACGGCAAUCAGUGACUAGCAGCCCGAUUCUGCCUUUAAAAAUGAUAGGUGACUGGGUCUGUCUCUAAGGAUACACAGCUAACGUGAGUGAGCAUCUAUGACGCUGUGCUGGUCGCUGGGCCAGAUGCAAGAGCUGCAAAUACAAUCAAGGAGACCCAAUUCCCUGACUCCCAAGAUCUCACAUUCCAACAGGGAAUCAGAGAUAAACGAGGACCUGUAAUUAUAAGGCACUAACGGCCAUGACUUCCCAGGAGCUAAAGCAAGCGAGGCCACAGCGAGGACGUGUGACCGGGUGGCAGGGGGCGGCUUCCCGGGUCACAAGGCCCCUUUCGAGCUGCCCUGAGGAUGAGUCAGGAGGAGUGUGUGGGUGGUUGGCGGCGAGCAUCCCCGCUUGUGGGAAGACCGUGCCUAGAGGCAUGAGGUUGUGCAAGAGCCCUGCACACUCAAGAGCAGGGAAUGAGCUCUAGCAGGAGCCCAAGGGGAUCUGGGCAAGUCCCGGCACUGGGCUGAGGCUUGGGGCCCAGGACGCGAGAUCAAAAUUCCCUAAAUAUUUCCACUUUUCCCGCUCUCAGCCUCGCUUCCUUCCAAACCGUUCCCGUGCUCAGGCCUCUGCUCCCGGAGCUUCGAGCUCUCCUGCAUCUUCUCCCCGCUGGAGGCAAGGGCGCCAGGGCCUGACGCACCAGGGCUGCGUGCGGCCCCAGUGCUGACCCUGCACGCACAGCACGGCGGGCUCAGCCCCGCCUCGAGCAUUUGCUUGAGGCUUCCACUUGGGAACCUCUUCAGACAAAGGGAGAAGUCCUGGUGGCUUUCCUUCACAGAGAAAAUACACACCUGCCUCUCUUUACCCUGCAUACAGGACUCUUGCCACGAAAAGAGCCGUUCCUCUUAGGACACACACAAGUUUGAUGCUGUGGACCGUAAAAUAUAAUAUUUACCUGAUAACAGCCUACGGCAAACUAAGCAAUACGCUUCUUCAGUAAGAGGGCGGCUGCAGCCGCUGGAGACACGCACUGUGACUGUUUAACCACGGCUGCCCCAUAGCUUAAAGUGAGGACCCCGGUUACGUGGCUCCGAGUCCACAUUUGUCUUCACCAUGAACCAGAAGUACCCACCCGACCAGAGCUAUGGAAUCUCACAAAAGGGUCUUCACUACCGCAGACGCUUUUAACCUUACUCGAAACUGAGACAUAACGGUCUUCAGAUUCUGAAUACUGUUCUGAAAAGCAUGUAUUUGUGGGCCCUCCGCUUGUGUCCGGACAGUACCAGAGGUAAACCAGCUAGUUCCUGGGUUACACCAACUUCUGGACAAAUACAAGGGGAAAUGUCCCGGGUACUUCACCUCUGGGCUGUGAAGUAUGGCGCGUUAUUUCUGCUUUAGAAGUGACAUACUUCCUUCCUGACUUUCAUCAGAAAAAUCAAAUGUGCACGGAUGGCGUUUCUCCCCGGGGCUGUCUGCGGCACGGUCCUCAAGAGCCAUACGUGUGUCACUAACACACAUGGUCCCAGACACGGUGAGUCAUCAUGAAGAAGCCAAGCCCGUUCAUGACGGUAACAGUUCGAUGCUCUAAAUGGAGAAGAUGGCAGCACUUCACCGGCAGAGACGUGCCCGGACAGCCGUCCCAGGAGCCCUUCAGCCCAGGAAGACAGCUCCGGACAGGGGCCCCAGCCCCCCAUGGCCGUCCAUCCUGUGCCGAGGCCUCCCACGAGGCCAAGACCCAAAAUACUGGCUACUUAAGAAGCACAGGGAACUACACUGAAUUACAGUGUGCUCCAUCUUCCUUGAAUUCCAAACACUACUGCCAAAUCCAUCCUCUGAAUAAAAGAUGGGGGAGCCCAAGAGAUGA